AACGAACGCUGGUGGCGUGCUUAACACAUGCAAGUCGAACGAGAAAGUUUCCUUCGGGAAAUUAGUAAAGUGGCGCAAGGGUGAGUAACACGUGAAUAAUCUGCCCUCGAGAUCGGGAUAACAUGGUGAAAACUAUGCUAAUACCGGAUAAGACCACAUUUCAUAAGAAAUGCGGGAAAAGGAGUCUCAAUCUUCACUCGAGGAUGAGUUCGCGGAACAUUAGCUUGUUGGUGAGAUAAAAGCUCACCAAGGCUACGAUGUUUAGCCGGCCUGAGAGGGCGAACGGUCACACUGGAACUGAGACACGGUCCAGACUCCUACGGGAGGCAGCAGUGGGGAAUAUUGCACAAUGGGCGCAAGCCUGAUGCAGCAAAUGCCCGCGUGUGUGAAG
rnacentral:rRNA from 1 species